rnacentral:rRNA from 1 species
CCUACGGGUGGCACCAGUGGGGAAUCUUGCACAAUGGAGGAAACUCUGAUGCAGCGAUGCCGCGUGAGUGAAGAAGGCCCUUGGGUUGUAAAGCUCUUUCGUCGGGGAAGAAAAUGACUGUACCCGAAUAAGAAGGUCCGGCUAACUUCGUGCCAGCAGCCGCGGUAAUACGAAGGGACCUAGCGUAGUUCGGAAUUACUGGGCUUAAAGAGUUCGUAGGUGGUUGAAAAAGUUAGUGGUGAAAUCCCAGAGCUUAACUCUGGAACUGCCAUUAAAACUUUUCAGCUAGAGUAUGAUAGAGGAAAGCAGAAUUUCUAGUGUAGAGGUGAAAUUCGUAGAUAUUAGAAAGAAUACCAAUUGCGAAGGCAGCUUUCUGGAUCAUUACUGACACUGAGGAACGAAAGCAUGGGUAGCGAAGAGGAUUAGAUACCCUCGUAGUC